rnacentral:rRNA from 1 species
AACGCUAGCUACAGGCUUAACACAUGCAAGUCGAGGGGAAACGAUAUUGGAAGCUUGCUUCCGAUAGGCGUCGACCGGCGCACGGGUGAGUAACGCGUAUCCAACCUGCCCACCACUUGGGGAUAACCUUGCGAAAGUAAGACUAAUACCCAAUGAUAUCUCUAGACGACAUCUGAAAGGGAUUAAAGAUUUAUCGGUGAUGGAUGGGGAUGCGUCUGAUUAGCUUGUUGGCGGGGUAACGGCCCACCAAGGCGACGAUCAGUAGGGGUUCUGAGAGGAAGGUCCCCCACAUUGGAACUGAGACACGGUCCAAACUCCUACGGGAGGCAGCAGUGAGGAAUAUUGGUCAAUGGGCGAGAGCCUGAACCAGCCAAGUAGCGUGCAGGACGACGGCCCUAUGGGUUGUAAACUGCUUUUAUAAGGGAAUAAAGUGAGUCUCGUGAGACUUUUUGCAUGUACCUUAUGAAUAAGGACCGGCUAAUUCCGUGCCAGCAGCCGCGGUAAUACGGAAGGUCCGGGCGUUAUCCGGAUUUAUUGGGUUUAAAGGGAGCGUAGGCCGGAGAUUAAGCGUGUUGUGAAAUGUAGACGCUCAACGUCUGCACUGCAGCGCGAACUGGUUUCCUUGAGUACGCACAAAGUGGGCGGAAUUCGUGGUGUAGCGGUGAAAUGCUUAGAUAUCACGAAGAACUCCGAUUG